AAUAUUGGGCAAUGGGGGAAACCCUGACCCAGCGACGUCGCGUGAGGGAAGAAGGUCUUCGGAUUGUAAACCUUUGUCAACAGGGAAGAAGCAAGUGACGGUACCUGAAGAGGAAGCCACGGCUAACUACGUGCCAGCAGCCGCGGUAAUACGUAGGUGGCGAGCGUUAUCCGGAAUUACUGGGUGUAAAGGGUGUGUAGGCGGGGAUGCAAGUCAGAUGUGAAAUCCAUGGGCUCAACCUAUGGUGUGCAUUUGAAACUGCGUUUCUUGAGUGUGGGAGAGGUAAGCGGAAUUCCUAGUGUAGCGGUGAAAUGCGUAGAUAUGUGGAGGAAUACCGAUGGCGAAGGCAGCCCCCUGGGAUAAUACUGACGCUCAGACACGAAAGCGUGGGGAGCAAACAGG
rnacentral:rRNA from 1 species